GACGAACCGUGCGAACGUUGUUCGGAAUCACUGGGCUUAAAGGGCGCGUAGGCGGCUCAUCAAGUCCGGGGUGAAAGCCCCCAGCUCAACUGGGGAAGUGCCUCGGAUACUGGUGAGCUCGAGGGAGGUAGGGGCGGAUGGAACUUCCGGUGGAGCGGUGAAAUGCGUUGAUAUCGGAAGGAACGCCGGUGGCGAAAGCGAUCCGCUGGCCCUCUACUGACGCUGAGGCGCGAAAGCCAGGGGAGCAAAGCGGG
rnacentral:rRNA from 1 species